UCCGGUUUGACACCGGCAGUCUCGCUAGAGUACUCGGCAUGACCCGUUAGCAACUAGCGACAGGGGUUGCGCUCGUUAAGGGACUUAACCCGACACUUCACAGCACGAGCUGACGACAGCCAUGCAGCACCUGUGCACGUUCCACCCUUGCGGGUGUGGCCCCCCUUUCGGAGGGUUAAUCCGUGCAUGUCAAACCCAGGUAAGGUUCUUCGCGUUGCCUCGAAUUAAGCCACAUGCUCCACCGCUUGUGUGAGCCCCCGUCAAUUCCUUUGAGUUUUAGCCUUGCGACCGUACUCCCCAGGCGGCGCGCUUAACGUUUUUACUUCGACCGAGACCGCGUCAGAGCGGCCCCGAUCCAGCGCGCAUCGUUUACGGCGUGGACUAC
rnacentral:misc_RNA from 1 species